rnacentral:rRNA from 1 species
GCCCUUAGAGUUUGAUCCUGGCUCAGAUUGAACGCUGGCGGCAUGCCUUACACAUGCAAGUCGAACGGCAGCACGGGUGCUUGCACCUGGUGGCGAGUGGCGAACGGGUGAGUAAUACAUCGGAACAUGUCCUGUAGUGGGGGAUAGCCCGGCGAAAGCCGGAUUAAUACCGCAUACGAUCUACGGAUGAAAGCGGGGGACCUUCGGGCCUCGCGCUAUAGGGUUGGCCGAUGGCUGAUUAGCUAGUUGGUGGGGUAAAGGCCUACCAAGGCGACGAUCAGUAGCUGGUCUGAGAGGACGACCAGCCACACUGGGACUGAGACACGGCCCAGACUCCUACGGGAGGCAGCAGUGGGGAAUUUUGGACAAUGGGCGAAAGCCUGAUCCAGCAAUGCCGCGUGUGUGAAGAAGGCCUUCGGGUUGUAAAGCACUUUUGUCCGGAAAGAAAUCCUUGGUUCUAAUAUAGCCGGGGGAUGACGGUACCGGAAGAAUAAGCACCGGCUAACUACGUGCCAGCAGCCGCGGUAAUACGUAGGGUGCGAGCGUUAAUCGGAAUUACUGGGCGUAAAGCGUGCGCAGGCGGUUUGCUAAGACCGAUGUGAAAUCCCCGGGCUCAACCUGGGAACUGCAUUGGUGACUGGCAGGCUAGAGUAUGGCAGAGGGGGGUAGAAUUCCACGUGUAGCAGUGAAAUGCGUAGAGAUGUGGAGGAAUACCGAUGG